rnacentral:misc_RNA from 1 species
GGAGCUUGGGUUUUUCCUCUAAAAAUAAAAGAAAUUUACAAUUCCAUAUAAGUUAUAAUGACAAAAAAUUUGCAUGAAAUUAAUACCUGUAUGACAAAUAACUCCAUGCUUCAUCUAUUCUACAAGAAGGAAACUCUGCAACAUUUCCUUACAAAAAACUCAUAAAUCUCCACACUCAUGACUCCCUUUAAUUCAGAAUACCAAUUACACUGGAAAGGAAAAAUGAAAAAAAAAGAAGAAAACAAGUUGACAUCACACAUCAAAGUCCAUUUUUUAAAAUCUAAAAAUAUACAUGUGAUUCUACCGCUUAAUCUUUCUUCUGCUAAAAAAUUCAAAGAACAAGCAGUCAGGAGCUGACCCUAUACAACCAAGAAACUUACUUUUUUUUUUCCCUUUCCUAAAUGACUUUAAUUUGCAAUUCAACUUGAAAGACUUCAUAUUAUUUGUUAGAAGGAAUUAGAACCUUUGACUUCUUCAGAUUUUGGAGCUCUGGCUUGAAUUGCCCUGCAUGAUAGAUUCUCAAGGUGAAAAUGCAGAAUAUAAGUUUCAAUGCAGAUUAUAUGAAUUUGCAUGACCUGCCAAUUACCAUUUGGUCCCAAACUGUCAAUAGCAGAAGUGGAAUCAAAUCCCAUUUGGAAAAAGGCUUUGGAGAUCAUUGUCUAAUGUAGUAUGAGGCACAGAUGGAAAUUGUGGAUUUGCAUUUGAAAUUACUGGUAUGCUUGCUGGAAAAAUUCCGUGUGAGUAAGGGUGAGCAUUCAUCCCAGGAAUGAAUCCCAUUAGUGCAGCAUUACUACCUCUUGGAUGAAGGAUAUCUUUGGAUAGAAUCUUCUCAAUAUCAUUGCUUAGUUCAGGAUUCACAGUAGCCAGUUUCAUUGACAGAAACUCUACCUGUUGUUGCAACGACUGCACAUAGUUAAUGAUUUCAUCAAGCAUUACUGCCUUUCCAGUAAUCUUAUUGCAUCCUGGAACAAGCUCCUGUAACAAUCUCAUUCGCUCACUUAUCUUCUCUCUUCUAACCCUUUCAGCUAGGCUGUGGCUAUUGGUAGCCUGUCCCCUUCUGGCUCUCACAUGAAUGUAAUUCUCAUUAGGAGCUUCUCCACUGUGAGAAUUGUUUUUAGCUUGUUUAGCUGAUUGUUUACCCCGUAAAUUAGCACCACUAUUUUGUUCAGUUCUUGGUUUCUUCUCAUCCUGUUCUUUUUGAACAUCAGAGCUAUGCCCAGAAGGAUCCUUCAGUCGUUCUCCUUCAGCAUUCUUGUUUGGAUCAUAUGAAGAAUUGGAUUCACCGACCCGUUUUCUUUUCUUCCCAUCAGGUGAAGCUCCUGUAAUGGGCUCUUCUGUUAAUUGGUGAUCCUCUUGAGAUUCUGCACUAUUUGCUACAGUUCUUUCGAUAUUUGCCUCCUUGUUUGUGGUAUAAUUUGGAUGGCAUCCAGUAUUGGCAAUCUGGCCACACUCAUUGAGACCAAAUGAGCUAACCAUUUCUGAGAG